GUAUCUGAAGCCUGACGAGGAUGAGAACCUCCGGGGGCAAGAGGUUCGACCCGAGCGAAGCGAGAGAACGUUGCGUCAGCAACGGCCCGCAGUGGCAAGUCAUCCUCUGUCACCGGCAG
rnacentral:sRNA from 71 species